rnacentral:tRNA from 1 species
UGGGGAGGGGGGAGUCUACCCCAUAAAUAGAUUUACAGUCUACCGCCUUUAUCGGCCACCUAACC